CCUACGGGGUGCUGCAGUGGGGAAUAUUGGACAAUGGGCGAAAGCCUGAUCCAGCCAUGCCGCGUGUGUGAAGAAGGCCUUCGGGUUGUAAAGCACUUUCAGUGGGGAAGAAAGCCUUGGGGCUAAUACCCUCGAGGAAGGACAUCACCCACAGAAGAAGCGCCGGCUAACUCCGUGCCAGCAGCCGCGGUAAUACGGAGGGUGCGAGCGUUAAUCGGAAUUACUGGGCGUAAAGCGCGCGUAGGCGGUCUGAUAAGCCGGUUGUGAAAGCCCCGGGCUCAACCUGGGAACGGCAUCCGGAACUGUCAGGCUAGAGUGCAGGAGAGGAAGGUAGAAUUCCCGGUGUAGCGGUGAAAUGCGUAGAGAUCGGGAGGAAUACCAGUGGCGAAGGCGGCCUUCUGGACUGACACUGACGCUGAGGUGCGAAAGCGUGGGUAGCAAACAGGAUUAGAUACCCCAGUAGUC
rnacentral:rRNA from 1 species